CAAAAAAUGGCAAAGAAGAAAGAUAACUGGUUCGAAAAGCACUACACCUGUAGGCCUUUAAAUUUUUUUGAGAUGCAGCAGUGCAUAUGCAAUUAACAAUUGCAUCAUUUCUUUAGGGUCAUUACACGCGAAAUCAGGCACUAAGUGGAGCAGCAUGUCAGAUUUUGUGCGAGUUUUGAAUGAAAGAAAAUAUAAUAUUAAAAUGGGAUAAUAUAUACGUGUGACAAAAUCGAUUUGGAGAUAAAGAUUGCUUUGGCUUGUGUGCAUUCGAGUAAAGUAAAAAAACGACAUUAAAAAUUCGUCCCUCAAGAAGUUAAACUAAUGGAAUCUACACUUUUGAAAAAAUUUAAAAAUGAGAUUAUGUCAACGAUGUUUAUUUGUCUAGAUAUAAAAUGUGUAAUAAAUUAUUAAUGCAAGCGAAGCUAUUUAACGUACCUGUUCAACAUUUGUUUGUGUAUAAAGAAGUAGUAUUCCCCACGAAACUGGCUAGGCAAGUUGUAUUUAGUGCUUGGC